rnacentral:rRNA from 1 species
CAGUAGCCACGGUAAUACGAAGGGGGCUAGCGUUGUUCGGAUUUACUGGGCGUAAAGCGCACGUAGGCGGAUCGAUCAGUCAGGGGUGAAAUCCCAGAGCUCAACUCUGGAACUGCCUUUGAUACUGUCGAUCUGGAGUAUGGAAGAGGUGAGUGGAAUUCCGAGUGUAGAGGUGAAAUUCGUAGAUAUUCGGAAGAACACCAGUGGCGAAGGCGGCUCACUGGCUCAUACUGGACGCUGAGGUGCGAAAGCGUGGGGAGCAAACAGGAUUAGAUACCCCAGUAGUCCCUGUCUCUUAUAC